CAUAACAAUUGUUGAAAUGAUUGAAGAAGAGAUAAGUGUGAAAAUGUCACAGACAAACAUCAACAAUGUCAAGGUAGGUCCUCAGAUGGUAUCCUUUGCUGCAGAGAAUAAGAUUUGACUAUUUGUCUUUGUUGACUGGUUGGCUCAGUGCAUAUGUCAUUGUCAUGAAUCAACAUUUUUUGAUACUUUUUAGUGACUUCUUUGCAGAUUUGCAUGGGAUUGUCCUAUGAAAGAAGAUAUCUGCAGUUGGCACAUUCUUUGAAGAUGUGUGAUGAGAAUAAUUACAUUAAUGAUUUGGCAAAAUUAAGAAAGCAAAUAAUAACAAAAAGUCUCACGAGCAGGUUAGAAGGACAUAUUGAAAAUUAAAGGAACUUUCUAUGUGACCUUCUCUUUAGCAACUGGCUAGAAAAUCUUUAAAUUUCAUAUAUAAUGAUGGGCCAAAAAAGCCACCAACUUCAGUGCAAAGAACAACACAAGCAUCACAGUAGAUACUCAAAAGAGGCCAUCCAGAGAGAGACAAACUGGAGACAGAUGAGUGGUAAGGAAUUAAUACCUGCAGUAAAUCAAUCUCUUGGUCCACUUACUAAAUGUGUAUUAACAAAAUGUGUUAAACAAGGAGGGAAGUAACCUUGGAAACACCCUAAACCCAAUGGUAUAUCUUUUUUUUCCCCAAAAGAAAGAAGCAUGCAUGUUGCUUUUAAGGUUAAUCUGAAACUCUUUAGCAAUCUGAGAAAUGGAGUAAAAAUGUCAGAUAGUAAUGAAUGCAGAAGAUAAACCUCCAGGAAUAAAGCAAAGAAAGGAAAGCAGAAUCAGCCAUGACUGGUGAAGAAACAUCCUCAAAAGAUCAAGAAUAAGAAAGAACCUUACUAAUGAUUGGUUAUGAAGAAAUUAUCCAGA